AUGAUCAUUGACUUACAUCACGAUAUCUUUUUCUUCCUCAUUCUUAUUUUGGUUUUCGUAUCACGGAUGUUGGUUCGCGCUUUAUGGCAUUUCAACGAGCAAACUAAUCCAAUCCCACAAAGGGCGGAUCUCAAUGUUCUCGUCAUGACCAAUGCUCCUAACAGGGGUGACUUUCUCAUAGACCAACCUCCCGUUGGCGGACUACCAGACCUCCAGCAGGAAAUGGCCACGCCGCCCAUCCCGAAGACAUAA
rnacentral:rRNA from 1 species